rnacentral:lncRNA from 1 species
GGGCUGUGCAGCACCACUUUUUCUUUUUUAUUGAGGUAUAAUUCACAUAACAUAAAAUUAAAUAUUUUAAAAUGUACAAUUCAGUGGUGUUUAGCACAUUCAUAAUGUUGUAAAACCAUCAUUUCUAUGUUCCAAAACGUAUUCGUAACCCCCAACAGGAAACCCAUACCCGUUAAGCAGGCAUCCCCAUCCCUCCCUCUUUCCAGCUUUCCAUAAGCACGAGUCUGCUGUCUGUACAGAUUUACCUAUCCUUGAUGGCGCAUAUAAAUGGAAUAAUAAAAUGUACAACUUUUUGCGUCUGGCUUCUUCCACUUGGCAUGUUUUUGAGGUGCAUCCACAGUAUAGCACGCAUCAGUGCUGCUUUCCUUUUCAGGACUGAAGUGACAGGACACUGUAUGGACAGACCACAUCUGGAUUAUUCAGUUAUCACAUGACGAAUGUUUGGGUGGGUCCCACAUUUUGGCUGUAUUGCAAAUAGUGCUAUGUACAUUUGUACACAAGUAUUUGAAUACAUGUUUUCAACUCUUUGUAUAGAUACAAAGAAUGUACCUCAGACUAUGUACCUCAGAGUAGAUUGCUGGGUCAUACAGUUAUUCUAUGUUUAACCACACUGUUUUCCAUAGUGGCUUCACCAUUUCACAUUCCCAGCAGUAAUGUCUGAGGGUUCCAAUUGCCCCACAUUCUCACCAACAAUUUUGUUUUCCAUUUUUUUAUGAUAGCCAUCCUACUGUGAAGUGUUAUCUUUCUGUGGUUUUGACAUUUCUUUCACAAUGAAUGAUGUCGAGCAUCUUUUCAUGCGCUUAUUGUCCAUUUGUAUUAUGCCUCCUUUGGAAAAAUGUCUUUUCAAAUCCUCUGCCCAUCUUUUAAUUACGUUGUCUUUUUGUUGUUAUGACAGUCCAUUAUAUAUUCUGGAUACUAGAUGCUAAUGAGAUACAUGAUUUGCACCAUCUUUCCCCAUUCGGUAAGUUGUCUUUUCAUUUUGAUAGUAUCUUCUAAUGUAUAAAAGUUUUAGAUUGUGAUAUAGCCCAAUUUAUCUAUUUUAUUGCUGUUGACUGUGUUUUUGGUGUCAUAUCUAAGAAUCCACUGUCAGAUUCAAGGCCAUGAAAACUUACCAUAUUUUCUUCCAAAAGUUUAUUUAGUUUUAGCUCUUAUAUUUAGGUCUUUGAUCUAUUCUGAAUAUUAAUUUUUAUAUGUCAGUUCAAGGUCCAACUUUCUUUUGCAUGUGAAUACCCACUUGUCCUGGCACAAUGUGUUGAAGAGACUAUUCUUUCUCCAUUAAAUCUUAGUACCCUUGUCAAAAAUUGGUCAUAGAUGUAUAGUAUUUCUAGACUCUCAUUCUAUUUUAUUGAUCUAUGUUUGUCUUUAUUCCUCCUGGGACUCCCAUUCAUGCAGGUUAUAUUCUUGAUGGUGUACCACAGUUCUCAGGCUCUGACAAUUUUUCUUCAUUCUUUUCUCCUUCUGCUUCUUGGAUUAAAUCACCUCAACUGACCGGUCUUUAAGUUCAUGGGUUCCUUCUCCUGCCUGCAUAAAUCCGAUUCUAAGCCCUUCUAGUGAAUAAAUUUUUCACCUCAGCUUUUAUACUCUUCAGCUCCAAAAUUUCUAUUUGGUGCCUUUUCUAAAUUCCUAUCUCUUUACUGACAUUCUCUAUAUACUGAGACAUUGCUCUCCUGAUUUCCUUAGGUCUUUGAGCAUAUUUAAUACAGUUAGUUGAAGGUCUUUGUCUAGUAAGUCCAAUACCUGGGCUGCCUCCUGGACCGUUUCUAUAUUUUCUUUUUCCUCUGUGUAAGGCUUUAAAUCGUUUCUUUGAACAGCUAGUGACUUUUGUUGUUGAAUACUGGCUAUUUUGAAUAUAUGGCAACUCUGGAAGUCAGAGUUUCCCUUCUCUCAGGGUUUAUUGCUGCCUGUUGUAGGUUGCUGGUGUUUGCUUGCUUACAGACUUUCCCUAUUUAUGUGAGUUCUGUGUUCCUUUAGCUUAUUGAACAGCUGCUAUCUUGACAGUUACCAUAAAGGUCUGAAGCCAACAACAACAAAAAAACUUCUAAGGAAAGAAAAAAUACUCUCCUACAUCUUUGCAAAAUGGAACCCUGUCAGAGCUAACUCUUUGAACACUUAGCCUGGCUGCUUAGAACUCUACCUUAGUUUCACUUCCUACUCUCACAAAGGCUGAAAAUCAGCAAGAGAUGAAAACUUAGUCUUCUCAGGCCUUUGCUGAGUAUAUGUCUCACUCUUAGUUUGCACGUGGCUUUUCUCCAUUCCCAGCUAUAUGCAGCAGCUUUGAAAAGCCCUAUUCCCACACAUCCCUGUCCCAGUCUCUUCUUCCCAGGGUUCUUGGUCUAUUAUUUGUCCCAAGUGUCAGGCUGCUGAGGCCAGUACUUGUGCCUUUAAAUGUUUUCAGCAAAAGCCACCUGGCAAGCCAUCACCCCCAGGAACACUGUGAGUGAAUAAACAGAAAGCCUUUCCACCUGUCCUUGAGAGACACCAGACAGGUAGAUACCCACAAUUACAUUCCUUGAAAGUAAGUUCUAUGUUGCU